rnacentral:tRNA from 1 species
CCUCCUCACCUAAAAGUUGCGAGAUGCACUUGAUGCAGUGCCUACACAGAUAGUCUUGUCAUAGAGAGAAGAACGUAAGAGCCAAAAUGGGGCUAUAGCUCAGCUGGGAGAGCGCCUGAUUUGCAUUCAGGAGGUCAGCAGUUCGAUCCUGCUUAGCUCCACCAUUAGGCUUGUAGCUCAGCUGGUUAGAGCGCACCCCUGAUAAGGGUGAGGUCGGCAGUUCAAGUCUGCCCAAGCCUACCAAUUUUCCUUACUCGGCGUCAUAUAAACCCACAGAUACGAUUGGUAUUAGGUGGUGUGUUGUUGGUUAAGUGAGAAGUGGAUGAGUUGGGCUUUACGAGGGUCAUGGAAGUACUAAUGGAAUAAACACUUAGCGAGUGUGUAAUUUGAUUAAGUUGUUUUUACCACCUAAACCUGGUUCUUUUAACCAAUUUUGGAAAAGCUUGAAUAUUUAAAUUUAAAUCCAAAAACUUGGAAAAGGAGUUUCUUUGAAUUAAUAUAAAAAUUUCCUCCAAAAGUGG